GCCUGCAUGCCACCAUGCUUCCCACCAUGACCAUAAUGGAUUGAACCUAUAAAACUAUGUAAGGCAGCCCCAGUUAAAUGUUUUCCUUUAUAAGAGUUGCCGUGGUCAUGGUGUCUCUGCACAGCAGUAAAACCCUAACACACCUACAGACUCCCUGAAAGCAGACAUGUGCCCAGAAGCUACUGGUGCCCAUGGCUCUCUUCCCCCCAAAGCAGGGGGGUGCUAAUGGAUUGCUCAAAUCACCCAUCCUAUCAGAGGCCAUGUGUCUUGAACACAUACUAUCUGUUGUCUCUCUGUAUGACCCCCAUCACAUCCCAUGGGUCUGUACAGAAACAGCUGUGCCCUGGAGGAUAUACAGUGUGGCUGAACCCACUGGCAUUUCUUCCCACCCACCAUUAGAUGCCAAGAGGGACUCACGGGAGAACGGUACAGGAUAAGGAGUCAGAAAAUGCCGGAGUGGAUGAAGAACAUAGCUAGCCUGAGGGACGGGCAAGGCUCUGAGGGUCAGGAUUGCUGGAGUCCUAGGACAAGGUGUCAUUGGACUGGCUAGGUAGGAAGAAGGCAAGUAGGUGACCAAGAGGGAGGAAUGGGAUGUGGGGCCUUCGUUACAAGUCUAGGCAUGACUUCUCUAAUCAGUCUCCUAGCCCUGCCUUGGCUGGUAAUGAAGUCCAUGAUGCCAUCCCUUCCGUGUACUCUACAGAGGAAGUGGCGCUACAUGUGGGGAGUAGUGGGUCCUCUAAGGCUGACUGAGGACAACCAGGUGUGUCUUAUGGGGCCUUAACAUGAAGGGGGACUGCUAUUCCAUUCAGAACACUUUAGUGUUCAACUUGAAAUCUAAAGUUAAAUCCAGAAGCCCAGACAGUAAUUCACAUGCUUAUGAAUUCUCAGCACAGGGUGGCUUCCAGGUCACGGAUGCCUGUCAAGCCAAAUGUUCAGCAUGGUUAUAAAUUAUCUCCUGGGGUGGAGUGCACUUUGCUCUACUCCCUCUGUGUAAGCAAGCAGAAAGGGGGGUGCCUAGGGUUAAUUGGUCUGUCAGCACAGGUGCCAGACAGCACUUGCGGGUACGGUAGGUGUAACAACUCCAGACAGUCUUAGAGGGUCCUGCAGGUGGUUCGUGAGGCCCCAUCUGCGGGUGGGUGUUACCCUCCACAGCCAAAAGAAACCUAAUAACACUGGUCAGUGAACUGUGCUACCUGGAACUUGAUUGUUCCAGAAAGCAGAAGCUGGUCAGGGAAGACACUGUAGAAGUAAAGGAAACACGAUUUGUCCAAGAAACACAAGUCAGGACUCUAUGGUCACAGGAGCCAUUUCAGGUGGAGGAGCUGACUAAGCAAAGUCCAUGCCCAGCUUAGUGCCAAAUCAGGUAUGACUUGUGCACGCGAUGAAGAUAUCAGGGACCCAUGUUAGUUCCUUCUGGACAGGAAGUCUUUAAUAUCUAUUUCUGUGUCCUGUAGAAAUAGAGCUGUAGUGGUGAGAGCCGCAGCUGUGCCCAGGUCUUCAUUUCAAUCCUUGGUGGUCUGGGGGCAGAGAAAACCGUCCUGGUUCCUGGAUCUCGUCCCUCAUGCUCUCUCAGGAGCAGAGGGUGAGAGUGAGGCCAGGAUGUCCAAUGGGAUCCCCGACUCCUAGGCUCCAGCAUCCUUCCUCUUUUGGUACUCAGCAAACCCCUGCUUUCACAUGCAGUCUUUCAGGUGCAGUCUCGGGUCCAGAAGACUCAACAAAUGAUUGUGAUGGGGGGGAUGGGCAACCCUGUUUCUAUCGAAAGGCAUGCUCAGCUCUGGAUGUCUUGUUGACGAAAGGCAGAGUAUUGUAGGCCAAUAAGCCAAGGGCAUGGUAUUUCCCUGUCUUUGACCACCUGUGGGAACCCUGGUCUCCACCUUCCCAUGUCCCCAAGCUUGGGAUUGGUUGAGGUUUGCAAUUAGUGUCUCUCAGUUGUUGAGAAACAAUAGGUGACUUUUUUCUUUUUAUGUGUGCACGUUUUGCAAUUGUGUGGACACAUGUGCCUGUGUACACAUGCAUGCCGAGGACCACUGUGGACAUCAGGGGUCACUGUCAAUCACUCAUCUACAUUACUCAUUAAGGCAAGGUCUCUCAGUCAAACCCAGAGCUCACUGAUAAGGUUAAUCUUCCUAGCCAGCUUGCUCCCGGGAUCCCCUAUCUCUGCCAGCCAAGGCUAGAAUGACAGGCAGACUGCUGUAUACCCAGCUAGCAUUUCUAUGAGUUUCUGGAGAUCUGAACUCUGGGCCUCACCCUUACAUAACAAGUGCUGAACAAUCUUGCCAGCUCCCAGGCUGCCUGUUAACUACAGCAAUUACUAACAUCCAACACACAGAGAAAGCGCCACAAACAUCAAGCUCAUGGGCUUUCCCCAUAGAACACAUCUGUGCAACCAGCAGCACCCAGGCCAGGGGACAGUCUUACCAGCACCCCGGAGUGCCCUAGGACAGAGGAUGUUCAAGGCUCUACCCGAGUACAGCUACUGCCCAGUAGGCUUUUGAAAGAGAGGGAGGCACAAAUCAAAAAGGGCAGAGACCAACAGUGUGUGUUCGGGGAUGUGAUGGCUGGCCCAAGAAGCCUUGGAAAUGGACUGGAGAGGGGUGUGUAGUAAGUACCCAAGCCAUACACCUUUCAGCAACCUUCCCCUUCAAGUCAAGAGUGUUGAAGACUAACGCUGGACCCUGCUCUGUGCCAAGGAUGUCACAUGUUCUCCCUUCCUAGAACCCUAGGCAGAGGCUAGCUUAGCCUCCAACCAACCAUGCUGCCAUCAGUUGCAUACUAAAUGAACAUAGAUGAUGAUAUGA